AAUGGGUCAGCGACUUAUAUUCUGUAGCAAGGUUAACCGUAUAGGGGAGCCGAAGGGAAACCGAGUCUUAACUGGGCGUUAAGUUGCAGGGUAUAGACCCGAAACCCGGUGAUCUAGCCAUGGGCAGGUUGAAGGUUGGGUAACACUAACUGGAGGACCGAACCGACUAAUGUUGAAAAAUUAGCGGAUGACUUGUGGCUGGGGGUGAAAGGCCAAUCAAACCGGGAGAUAGCUGGUUCUCCCCGAAAGCUAUUUAGGUAGCGCCUCGUGAAUUCAUCUUCGGGGGUAGAGCACUGUUUCGGCUAGGGGGUCAUCCCGACUUACCAACCCGAUGCAAACUGCGAAUACCGAAGAAUGUUAUCACGGGAGACACACGGCGGGUGCUAACGUCCGUCGUGAAGAGGGAAACAACCCAGACCGCCAGCUAAGGUCCCAAAGUCAUGGUUAAGUGGGAAACGAUGUGGGAAGGCACAGACAGCCAGGAUGUUGGCUUAGAAGCAGCCAUCAUUUAAAGAAAGCGUAAUAGCUCACUGGUCGAGUCGGCCUGCGCGGAAGAUGUAACGGGGCUAAACCAUGCACCGAAGCUGCGGCAGCGACACUAUGUGUUGUUGGGUAGGGGAGCGU
rnacentral:rRNA from 1 species